rnacentral:rRNA from 1 species
GACGAACGCUGGCGGCGUGCUUAACACAUGCAAGUCGAACGGAAAGGCCCUGCUUUUGUGGGGUGCUCGAGUGGCGAACGGGUGAGUAACACGUGAGUAACCUGCCCUUGACUUUGGGAUAACUUCAGGAAACUGGGGCUAAUACCGGAUAGGAGCUCCUGCUGCAUGGUGGGGGUUGGAAAGUUUCGGCGGUUGGGGAUGGACUCGCGGCUUAUCAGCUUGUUGGUGGGGUAGCGGCUUACCAAGGCUUUGACGGGUAGCCGGCCUGAGAGGGUGACCGGCCACAUUGGGACUGAGAUACGGCCCAGACUCCUACGGGAGGCAGCAGUGGGGAAUAUUGCACAAUGGGCGGAAGCCUGAUGCAGCAACGCCGCGUGCGGGAUGACGGCCUUCGGGUUGUAAACCGCUUUCGCCUGUGACGAAGCGUGAGUGACGGUAAUGGGUAAAGGAGCACCGGCUAACUACGUG